GAUACAUUAUGCAGUCUUGUAAGGUGGAGGGGGGAAGAGAAGAACUGACAUAGCAAAUGUGAGAAAUCAAAACUUGGAUGUUUAUUUAGGGAGACUGUAAAGGGACCAUCGCCUGGGUCUGGGGAGAGGAGAGGAUUUUGUGGGAAACAAAGGCACUGUCAGCUUUUGUGUCUGUUCUGGAUGUUCCUAGCAUUAGGCAGAGCUUACAGCUUUGCCUUUUAGUAAUUUUAUGGACCUGAUAUUUUAAGGCACCAAAGGGAACGAUGAUGUUCAUUCGACAUGUGAGAUUAUAAAAUGGUGAAGUGUUUGCAUGGCCUGGGUUGGUAAUGUCUCCUUUAGAGAUUUUACUGGUUUAUUACCACUUGCUGGUGGAACAUACCGGAAACACAGAAACAGCAGAAUUAUUCUCAUUUAUUUUGUUGCAGUUAGGUUUUUAUGAAGACAGGUGUACAGAUGGAAAUAUAGAUAUGCCUGAGCAACUGCAAAUACAAGACAAAAAUACAGGAUUUUCAUGCCAAAGCUGAAUUCCUGCCAGUCCUUGAGUCCUUUCCUGGGACAGUUGUUUGCUGAAGAAGUGAUUUGCUUUAAUGGAGUAUAAAGAGCAUGUACUGGUAUGAAGAAGACUUGUGGGCAGAGAGGAAUAGAUAGAUCAUACAGACAACAUGACAGUUCAUCUUUAUGCAAGGUGGAUUUUUGCACCUGUGAAGGAUGCUGUGCCAGGCUUCAGAUUGUUCCUCUUCUAACCUUCUCCGAUGUUCAUCUCUUCCAUCACGGGCUCCUUUCUCAGCACACAGCUUUGAAAAGUAAAUUCUCCACGAUGUCAGAUCACCCGAUGGUGAAGCGGGUUUGAAGCCCUGGCUCUCAAAGCAACUUCCAGUGGACCAUGACAGGAAUCAAGGGCUAUUUAUUAUUGGUGAGGUUAGAGAACAUCCCCUUUUCACUCUUUAAGAGUGCAGAGGUUUGAAAAUGCAGUUCCGCAGGGGGGUUCUUGGCACUGGUUCUUUGCUUAGGUGAGUGGUUCGUUACUCCUGUUUCACUUGUUUCUGCUCCUUAAUUUUCUGUAGAUUUAUUUCUCCAGGCUCCUCCCUUUGUUUGCAACGGCAUCUUUUACUCUGGAAAUAAAACACCUAUGAACUCAAAGGAAAAAGAAAGACCUAGAAGCAAAGCCAGGGAAGACACACGGUACCCGUCCCCUAGUUUUGAAGUUUCCUGGUUUAUAAACCCAUGUCUUAGUGAAAAACAGAUGAUAGUAGUGCUUAAUGUCACAUUGGUGGAGCAAUGGUAAACCCACAUAAUAUAUAAUGCAGAGCAUUAUAGCUGUCACUCACGGUGUGAUGAAAUAAAUACAAACUACAGUAUGAAGGAGUGAGAUGCUCAACAACAUAAACUCCAAGGGUUUUGCUUGUGAUGGAAAUGUGCAUUUUCAGUGAACAUUAGUUUUCAUAUACAUUUAAUUGUAUAUUGUCUAUGCACUAAAGGAGAUAACAUGGUUUUAUAGGGGGAGUCCUGGGUGUGUGAGAAAGGGGUGAGACCUUGGGGUGUUUCCCAUCCAUCCCCUGCAGGACCCCGGUGGCGGGAGCAUCGAUGGCUGUGAUAAUUAAUGAUAUUCCUCUGCCCUCUGUAGGAGAGCUGCCCGCAUUGAAUGCUGCUGUGGGAGCACCCUGACCUGUGCAGCCCCCACCGCUCUGCAUCCCAAUUAGAAACCAGGUCUGGAUUCAUUUUUAGAGCCUUUAAAAGCAGGUAAGAGUCCUGAGUGAACACAAAGGGGAUGAGCAGCAGCCUAUGCAGCUCCUCUCCCAGCCAGGGCUCGAACCAGCUCAAGUUUGCAGGUUGCUGCUGGCACCUUCAUGGGGAAAAUCUCAAUGGCAGUUGUGGAAAACCCAAGUCCUGGAGGCCAGGCUGACCCCCUGAAGCUGUUCAUUGUAGGGUCUGAAGUUCAGACCUGUGUCUGCAACU